ensembl:snRNA U6 U6 spliceosomal RNA
GUGCUCACUUUGGCAGCACAUAUACUAAAACUGGAAUGACACAGAGGAGAUUAGCAUGGCCCCUGCACAAGGAUGACACGCAAAUUCAUUAAACAUUUCAUUUAAAA